AUGGAUGGUGACCUCACCUUCGUGGGUCAUAUGCAGCUCGUACACCUCAACCUGGCCAUUAGCACGGUGCCCCAGGUGGCUGACAGGGCCGAUUGUUUCUCCUGGCCGGCGGAUCCGUCCGGGACGUACACAACAAGAUCCACGUAUUACCGUUUGUGCCAUGGGAUUCAGCGGGUUGCGUAUGCUUCUUGCAUUUGGAAGAGUUGGGUGCUCCUCAAGUGCAAAAUCUUUGUUUGGCUGGCUAUUCAGCACCGCAUCUGGACCUCAAACCGAAGAGCUAAGCAUGGGUUGCAGGACCGCCCUUCAAACUGCUUCACAUGCUUGCAGGAGGAAGACAACGCAGAGCACAUAUUGGUCCAAUGUGUGUACGCUAGGGAAGUGUGGCAUGGUUGCUUCCAAGAGCUCAACUUGAACGUGGUGCGGCCGACGAGGGAGGAUGAGUUGAUGGAUUGGUGGUUAGAGAAUAGGAGGGGUUUCCGGAAAGAACUCAAGCAUGGAUUUGACACGCUUGUGAUUGCGGUGACUUGGGCUUUGUGGAAACAACGCAACGCGCGGGUCUUCAAUAGAACGGCUCAACAGAAAUCACCAUUUGAGCUGGUGGAGGUGAUCCCGAGGGAGAUCCAUGAUUGGAGGGAGGCGGGUCUAGGGGUAGGCGGGUUGUCACGCUUC
rnacentral:rRNA from 1 species